rnacentral:rRNA from 1 species
AACGACUCUCGGCAACGGAUAUCUCGGCUCUCGCAUCGAUGAAGAACGUAGCGAAAUGCGAUACUUGGUGUGAAUUGCAGAAUCCCGUGAACCAUCGAGUCUUUGAACGCAAGUUGCGCCCGAAGCCAUUUGGCCGAGGGCACGUNUGCCUGGGCGUCACGC